UACGGGGGGGGCAAGCGUUGUUCGGAAUUACUGGGCGUAAAGGGCUCGUAGGCGGCCAACUAAGUCCGACGUGAAAUCCCCAGGCUUAACCUGGGAACUGCGUCGGAUACUGGAUGGCUUGAAUCCGGGAGAGGGAUGCGGAAUUCCAGGUGUAGCGGUGAAAUGCGUAGAUAUCUGGAGGAACACCGGUGGCGAAGGCGGUUCUCUGGGCCUUACCUGACACUGAGGAGCGAAAGCGUGGGGAGCGAACAGG
rnacentral:rRNA from 1 species